UAUAAGGUGUCUCUGGCAUACUAUUGUUGAAGGUUCUGGGUCGUGAAGUUUACAGAUGUUAACAGAAGCCCAUCUGUAUAAGAAGGUACUGGCUACUGCUUCAGUCCAUGGAAGGUACUUGGAGGAGCAUUGUUGCGGCUCACAGGCUGCUUGCUGUGCCAGUCUGCCAGUCUAACUCUGUGGAUACCGUGAGAGCCCGAUGCCUGUAAAACCCCCAGCACCCCACCCCUUAUCCCCCCUAAAAACACCACAACUACGGCCACCCCGACAGUGCCUCCCACCGCAACCCAGCAGCAAGCCUGUGAAACACGCGUUAAAUUCACCUGUAGCAUCAGAGUCAUGACUGCAAGGACCAGUCUACACCCAGGAGCCAGAAGGCCACAGCCUAGCCAAGAACUGUUGUAGAGGGGGACUAACUGCAGAACUGCCCAACAGGAGAAGAGUGGAGCUGGAAGUCGUCCUUGCUCACUCCUUCUAGCCUGCUCUGACUGCAGCCCUGUGAGGACUGUCCAGUACAAGAGUCCCAUGGAGAUACUGAACUAAGGAAAAUAACCCAGACUCUCACUAGCAAGGUUACAUCAACAUGG